GAUGAACGCUGGCGGCGUGCUUAACACAUGCAAGUCGAACGGAAAGGCCCAAGCUUGCUUGGGUACUCGAGUGGCGAACGGGUGAGUAACACGUGGGUGAUCUGCCCUGCACUUCGGGAUAAGCCUGGGAAACUGGGUCUAAUACCGGAUAGGACCACUUCUUGGAUGUUGUGGUGGAAAGUUUUUUCGGUGUGGGAUGAGCUCGCGGCCUAUCAGCUUGUUGGUGGGGUAAUGGCCUACCAAGGCGUCGACGGGUAGCCGGCCUGAGAGGGUGUACGGCCACAUUGGGACUGAGAUACGGCCCAGACUCCUACGGGAGGCAACAGUGGGGAAUAUUGCACAAUGGGCGCAAGCCUGAUGCAGCGACGCCGCGUGGGGGAUGACGGCCUUCGGGUUGUAAACUCCUUUCGCUAGGGACGAAGCGUUUUUGUGACGGUACCUGGAGAAGAAGCACCGGCUAACUACGUGCCAGCAGCCGCGGUAAUACGUAGGGUGCGAGCGUUGUCCGGAAUUACUGGGCGUAAAGAGCUCGUAGGUGGUUUGUCGCGUCGUUUGUGUAAGCCCGCAGCUUAACUGCGGGACUGCAGGCGAUACGGGCAUAACUUGAGUGCUGUAGGGGAGACUGGAAUUCCUGGUGUAGCGGUGGAAUGCGCAGAUAUCAGGAGGAACACCGAUGGCGAAGGCAGGUCUCUGGGCAGUAACUGACGCUGAGGAGCGAAAGCAUGGGGAGCGAACAGG
rnacentral:rRNA from 1 species